AUUGAACGCUGGCGGCAUGCCUUACACAUGCAAGUCGAACGGCAGCAUGGAAGAGCUUGCUCUUCUGAUGGCGAGUGGCGAACGGGUGAGUAAAGCAUCGGAACGUACCGUGUAGUGGGGGAUAACGUAGCGAAAGUUACGCUAAUACCGCAUACGCACUGAGGUGGAAAGCAGGGGAUCGCAAGACCUUGCGCUAUACGAGCGGCCGAUGUCAGAUUAGCUAGUUGGUAGGGUAAAGGCCUACCAAGGCGACGAUCUGUAGCGGGUCUGAGAGGAUGAUCCGCCACACUGGGACUGAGACACGGCCCAGACUCCUACGGGAGGCAGCAGUGGGGAAUUUUGGACAAUGGGGGAAACCCUGAUCCAGCCAUGCCGCGUGAGUGAAGAAGGCCUUCGGGUUGUAAAGCUCUUUCGGCUGGGAAGAAAUCGCACAGACUAAUACUCUGUGUGGAUGACGGUACCAGCACAAGAAGCACCGGCUAACUACGUGCCAGCCGCCGCAGUAA
rnacentral:rRNA from 1 species